UAUGAAAUAGUAUUUUAUUAUUAUGAAAUUAAACUUCAAUUUAUAAAUGUAUCAUAUAUGUAGGACACGCUCUCAAUAGAUAAUUGAAGUUUCAAAUUUGUAAGAAAAUAACUGAACCAUACAUCAAUUUGGCCAAACAUUUUCCACGAAAAAGAGAAAAACUAAUGGAUACAUGAUUAUUAAAAAUAAAUAAAUAAAGAUACAAAUAAAUACAGCAAAUCUUUCAAUCAGAGCGUUACACGUCUAUAUCUUCAAUCAUGCUGUCAAAAUCUCUCCGGACAUUGAAAUCCAUAAAAUAUUCCAUAAAUUGCUUCCAUGCUCUCAGUCUAUCCUCUGAACACAUUGUUCAAUAUAAGUCUAAUAUUACACCAUAUUUGAUGUAGUAAGAAAAAAGCAAAAGGAAUAAAAAUAAGAGAUUCAUUCAAAUCAAUUACCACUACUUGUUGUUUUUGUUGGUUCUGCAUCAGAUUGCAAUUUGAAAUUCAAAUAAAAGCACAGGAAGCAUCAACUGUG
rnacentral:lncRNA from 1 species